CAGCCGCCGCGGUAAUACAGAGGGUGCAAGCGUUAAUCGGAUUUACUGGGCGUAAAGGGCGCGUAGGUGGUUAUUUAAGUGAGAUGUGAAAGCCCCGGGCUUAACCUGGGAACUGCAUCUUAUACUGGGUAACUGGAGUGCAGUAGAGGGUAGUGGAAUUUCCGGUGUAGCGGUGAAAUGCGUAGAUAUCGGAAGGAACACCAGUGGCGAAGGCGGCUACCUGGACUGACACUGACACUGAGGCGCGAGAGCGUGGGGAGCAAACAGGAUUAGAUACCCUGUAGUCCCUGUCUCUUAUACA
rnacentral:rRNA from 1 species